UACGUAGGGGGCAAGCGUUGUCCGGAAUCAUUGGGCGUAAAGAGCGUGUAGGCGGUCCGGUAAGUCGGCUGUGAAAGUCCAGGGCUCAACCCUGGGAUGCCGGUCGAUACUGCCGGACUAGAGUUCGGAAGAGGCGAGUGGAAUUCCCGGUGUAGCGGUGAAAUGCGCAGAUAUCGGGAGGAACACCAAUGGCGAAGGCAGCUCGCUGGGACGUGACUGACGCUGAGACGCGAAAGCGUGGGGAGCAAACAGGG
rnacentral:rRNA from 1 species